rnacentral:lncRNA from 1 species
AGAAGAUGUAGAAAACAUACAGAGUCGUUUACUGCAGGUUUUUUAAUCAGCAGUUGAGUGUUUGCCUGAUUUUUUUUUCUUCCUCAGAGUUACCUGAUUCCAGACAAAGAGGACAACACGGACAAUGUGCCGGCCAAAAAGGCUCCUGGCAGCAAACCGGCCAGCAGAGAGCCGAGUCCAGACUCCGGCACCGAGGAAGAAAAGGAACAAGCCGCAGAAAAAAACAAACCCAAACAGGACAUCGGAGGUCUGAUCGCUGGAAUGUUCCGGAAAGCACCCAAAGAGAAAUCGUCGUCUCCUGCUGUGACGGUAAAAUCAACUCUUCUGCUCAAUUUUGGAUCAUAAGUUUUCACUUUCAGUCUCUCGUCGCCUCUUACUCAUAGUUUCCAUUUCAUCCCCAGGUCCACUUAGCAGACAGUGAUUCUGAAGAUGCAGAAGAAGCAGAAGAUAAGGUAGGUCUUUGUUUUAGUGGAUGUACAGCGUUUACUUCAGCGUAACGGCAGCGCCACAUAGAAAACAUUUUUAUUUUGCUACGCUAGUGAAGCGCAA